rnacentral:tRNA from 1 species
GGUAUGACUGUGCAAUUCAGUAUAACUUGAUGAUUUUCAUCUUACUUUAUUUAUGGACUAACCUUUAUGAGAAAUA